UGAUACUAAUAGCUCGAUUGAUUUACUUUG
rnacentral:rRNA from 2 species